AUUGAACGCUGGCGGCAGGCCUAACACAUGCAAGUCGAGCGGUAGAGAGGUGCUUGCAUCUCUUGAGAGCGGCGGACGGGUGAGUAAUGCCUAGGAAUCUGCCUAGUGGUGGGGGAUAACGUUCGGAAACGGACGCUAAUACCGCAUACGUCCUACGGGAGAAAGCGGGGGGAUCUUCGGACCUCGCGCCAUUAGAUGAGCCUAGGUCGGAUUAGCUAGUUGGUGAGGUAAUGGCUCACCAAGGCGACGAUCCGUAACUGGUCUGAGAGGAUGAUCAGUCACACUGGAACUGAGACACGGUCCAGACUCCUACGGGAGGCAGCAGUGGGGAAUAUUGGACAAUGGGCGAAAGCCUGAUCCAGCCAUGCCGCGUGUGUGAAGAAGGUCUUCGGAUUGUAAGCACUUAAGUUGGGAGGAAGGGUAGGUAACC
rnacentral:rRNA from 1 species